rnacentral:rRNA from 1 species
UCUAGUGUACCACCCUGAACACACCCAAUCUCUUCUGAUUUCAGAAGCUUAGCAGGGUUGUGUGUAUGUUGUUCUUGGGUGGGAGACCCAGUAGGGAAUAUCAGUUAUCUUUAGGU